AGUUAAAGGUCAACAACUGAUACUUUGAGUAGAGUUCCUGUUAGUGUGACUCAAUAUUUUUGUCUUUCAGUUUGCUUGAAUGGUGGAUUACAUUUAUCAAUUUACAUAUGUUGAACCAUCCAUGAAUCUCAGGGAUAAAGCCUACUUGAUCAUGAAUCCUACUUUGUUGGGCUGCAUACUGGCUGGAGGAAGUGACUUGGCAGAGAGAAGGAGCCCUGGGUCCGGUAUGGGAGACUGACGAGCACGGUUCUCUCACGCACUGAGUGACCGAAUGUGUGAGCGGUCACUGCUCCAGACUCCAUUGCUUCAUCUAGGGAAAAAGGAAAGAGAUGACUGGAACAGACAAUCACCAGCUUAAAAAAAUACCAAUUUGUGCGGACAGGAAGAAACUGAAUGAAUGUGCGUUGUAGACACGAGUGCAGUUACGGCAAGGACCCCGCUUUCUCAGACCCAUGAGGAUAGCAAGGCCUUCCCUGGUCCGAGUUUGGAUGUUGACAGAUCCUGCAAGGACAUUAUCUGCAAAAGUCAGCCUGACAGUGAUACCUUCCUAUGAGAAGAAAGACAACACCCAAAGGAGCUGCAACAGGAGCCCCAAGGAGUCAGACGUUAUCAGGUAGCAGGCAGACUUUGCUGCCAUUUACAAAAUCCUCCAAAUGUGUCAGGCUAGGGGUCAGAGGUCACAGCUGAGCCAGAACUGUACUAAGCUGUUUUAGAGUCGGCGUGAAAGGCAGAAGGUGUGCUGUGUGUUGUCUAACGCAUCGAAUGGCUGUGUGUACUUAAGAAUGGCUUUUGGUUUUAAUAUCGUUGAGUUUGAUUCCAUUAAAGCCAUGAAGGCAGAUUCUU
rnacentral:lncRNA from 1 species